CCCCAGCCUGCCCACUAUGCUGACCGGUCACAUGAGGGAGAGGCUCCUGCAGAAAUUUGCCUUUUCAACCAAUAACAUAGGCUUACAGCUUUUAUUCAAGCCGGAGGGAAAGAUCACUGAGCCGGAUCUGAAGUGGGAACAACAGCAGGCUCCAAGAUCGGGAGUCUUGGGGCCACACAGGACUUUGGAGCUUGCGACCUUUCUGCGAUAAAGGUGGGAUGGAUGGCCGCCAUCCUGCCUAAUUGC